AUGUCGACCGAUAUAAGCCUGCACGAGCUGCUGGACCUCUCCAUAGGGACCCCAGACGUCGGAUCUGUCAAUUUCAGCGCACUGCACACUUUACUGCACGCCCUCUUGGGACACCUGAAGAUUGAGAGGGUCACAACUACCUGGAAGGAGGUGGACCACGAGCAUGACAGCCCAGCCCAGACCAAAGCCUUGCUGCUGGACACUUCGAGCCCCUACAGGGCGCUGGAGGAGAAGCUGCAGCGGAUGGAGGAGCAGAUGUGCGCGCUGGAGGCUCUGCCCAGCGCCUCGGAGCUCAUGAGGUCCGACACCGCGCUCAGCGACAUGUGGACGCUCAUGCAGCUCCGCAGAAAGACGCAGGCCAACGAGGACGGGGUGUCCAAGUGUAUGGCUUUAAUCCAAGACCUGCUGAAGGAAAUCCAGGAACUCAAAGAGUCCAGAGACGAUCUGAGACUGAAAGUUGAUGCUCUGAAUGAUCAGCUCAGCCAGCUGAACUUGAAUGAGUUGGCAGACCGUAUCUUGGCUAUGGAGCAGUAUUGCCACCAAGUGGAAGAUUUGGACAACACUACGAAAGAGCUGAAGGACAAGAUGGCCCAGUACCCUGUUCCAGAAGAGCUCACGCAGUGUGUCACAUGGGAAGUGAUGCAGGCUGCGCUCAUCAGCGAGAGGCAGAAGAUUCAGGAGGGGUUGCAGGACACCCUCUCCGCCGCUAAAAACAUUGCACCCGUUCACCCUUUGAACCUGGGUAUCCCGUUCAAAGACGACAGAGCGGGUGCAGGUGGCACAGCUGGUGUAGAUCUCUCUCGGCGGGUUUCUCCUCCCCAGCAGUCCCUGUCUGACGGGGCUCUGUGCACUGUGACGGGCCGCCGACUGUCCCGGGUCAGCAUUGGGGCUGAGCGCUACCCGGAGACCGUAGAGGCUCUGAUGGAGGUGGGCGGACUGAGAGACAGGCACGAGAGUCUGGAGGCCCGCGUGGGGCAGCUGGAGUCGAACAAGGCUGAUCAGACCCAGCUUCAACAUCUGCGUGAUCUUCUUAAUGCCAUGGAAGAGAGGCAGGUUCCUGACCAAGUGCCAGAGCAACUGAAUCAUCUGAGGACUCUUGUGGACAGUCUGCUAGCAGAUAAAGAGAAGAACACUGAUCUGGUGAGAGAUUUAGAGGGAGCCAUACUGCAGCUGCAGUCCAAGUGUGAGAAACUACCACAGAACAUCCAACCACCUGAUGGAGGAACACAGCAAGAAACAAACACACAUCGACCAUCUGUUCAAGAUAGUGGAAGAACUGGAUGA
rnacentral:lncRNA from 1 species